rnacentral:rRNA from 1 species
GACAGUGUCAGGCGGGGAGUUUGACUGGGGCGGUACAUCUGUUAAAUAAUAACGCAGGUGUCCUAAGGUUAGCUCAGUGAGGACAGAAACCUCACGUAGAGUAAAAGGGCAAAAGCUAACUUGAUCUAUGACCUUCAGUACUGGUAUAGACCGCGAAAGCGUGGCCUAUCGAUCCUUUUGUUGUUCUUAAACGGUUGACAGUUUCAAGCAAGAGGUGUCAGAAAAGUUACCACAGGGAUAACUGGUAGCGCUAAGGCUUAAUGUGGUUGCCGGCAACGGUAAUCAUUCAUACAACAUUAAGCGGUGCAGCGUUACAAACUCUGGUGUUUAGUAGUAUCGAUGUAGUGUACAGGCAACUGUAUGCUGCUUUCGGCCUAGCGUACAAGUCCCAUUGACUUGGGCUUAUUCUUAAUUGAGAUGUCUACGGGUUUGGGGCAACUUGGAUCCGUGGAUGAGCCAUAGAGGGUGAAAGUCCCUUAAUGCGCAGGUAUUGGUACUACGGACUAGAGCAGUGGCGUUUGGUAAAACAAGCGUUGCGGUUUGUUAGAGUCGGGUUGCUUGAGAGUGCAACCUAAAGAGCGAGGUAAACUGCUCGUAAGGCUAUGUAAAUACGGCUACGACACCGAUAGCAAACAAGUACCGUGAGGGAAAGUUGCAAAGUACUUUGAAGAGAGAGUUAAACAGGGCGUGAAACCGCUAGCUGGUAAAACCCGUCUUGAAACACGGACCAAGGAGUGUAGGAGGGUUGUGUUGGUAGCGUUGAAGGCUAUGAGGGAGUGAUCCUGGCUGGAGCUGCCAAUAGUACAGAUCUUGGUGGUAGUAGCAAAUACUCAAGUGAGACCCUUGAGGGCCAAUGUGGAGAAGGGUUCCAUGCUAACAGCAAUUGGACAUGGGUCAGUCGGUGAAUUAGGUUAAUAUUCCUAAACCAAGAUGGGGAGAUGGCACGGACCACGGGAAUCCGACUGUCUAAUUAAAACAAAGCAUUGCGAUGGCCUAAGAUUGUGGUGUUGACGCAAUGUGAUUUCUGCCCAGUGCUAUGAAUGUCACAGUGAAGAAAUUCAUCUAAGCGCUAGUAAACGGCGGGAGUAACUAUGACUCUCUUGUGGUAGCCAAAUGCCUCGUCAUCUAAUUAGUGACGCGCAUGAAUGGAUUAACGAGAUUCCCACUGUCCCUAUCUACUACCUAGCGAAACCACAGCCAAGGGAACGGGCUUGGCAAAAUCAGCGGGGAAAGAAGACCCUGUUGAGCUUGACUCUAGUCUGGCUUUACGCGGAGUAUGCAUGCGUGGCGCAAGUUACGUGUGUAUGCGUUGCGAGUGGAGCCACGAAGUCGUUUCGUAGAAUACGGGGCGCAGAUUCAGUUGAGAUCAAUAAAAAAGGUCUUGGCGUAUUUCUGCUUGUCUCGCUAUGUAAGCGUACACUGCAACCAAUUAGACGGCCAAACGUGGAAACAGUUUGCAAGUUGACAGGGAAACUUGUUGCUUGUAAGCGCCAAAAUUUGUGUAUCUAGCGUAGGUAGCCUGAUUAAGACCUCGUGUUUUACUUGGGUGUCUGACGACCACUAGAUGCGUGAACUACGUUUGGGUACUGAUUGGCAAAAGGAAAAUCGAAUCGAAAGAUUCGUUCAUUCAUAGAAAGCGUCCAGCAUCGUAUGUGGGUACAAUUGUACGCUGCUAGUAUAAGCUUAGUAUUUUUGAAUUCAGGCACGUAUAUUGUCAGUGGGCUUGCUCGUUGAUAUAUGCGCUGUUUCCUGUCUAAUCGGGUAUUAACUUUGCUGACAGUUUGAUGCAAUUGCUACGAUAGCACUGUAUGCGAUAGUUGGUCUGCAAGUAUUAGCAGUGAGUAGGUCGGCUUUCCACACGCGUUGAAUCAUCGUUCGUAUAACAUGCGAUUAGUUAUGAUUCAACGCCUAAGAGAAUGGCGAAAGCUAUUUCUGAAUCAAAGGCAGUGUAUACAAAACACAAUAAACACAAAAACAUGUGUGUAAAUACGGAUUUCAACAAAUAUUUCCCUGCGACUACAACAAUGGACGCUUGGAGAGCAGAAAGCCGAAAAUACAUGUAUUUGAGUGUAUAUGAUCACUGUAUGACUCGAAAGGUGCUAGCUGUGCGGUUAUUCAUUUAACUGUGCAGCUAGCAUUGGCGGUAACGCAAACAAGGCUCUGAGGAUCGAGUUGGUCGGGCUGUAAAUGAGAUACAUUCAUGAGUUUGUAUCUGUGCUGGGCCUUCGUUUGUGCACGAGUGCUUUCGGGUAUUUCGCGUAUUAACUUAAGUUCGGCACGGAUCGCUCAAUUGUUGAUCGUUACAGCUACGCUGGUGGUUGAGCAUUUAUACGGGCAACCGUAUGGGUGUUUGGCUAUCAAAAAAAAGCGUCAUCGGCUAACAACUAACGAUCGAAUCAGAACUCAAGCUCUCGCAGAAAUGUGAAUCAGUUUCAUCUGGUAAAGCGAAUGAUUAGAGGCCUUGGGAGCGAAACGCUCUCAACCUAUUCUCAAACUUUAAAUGGGUGAGAUGUGCGACGUACUUAACUGACGCCGCAUACACACAGAAUGUAUUGAGAGCUUAGUGGGCCAUUUUUGGUAAGCAGAACUGGCGAUGCGGGAUGAACCGAAAGUGAAGUUAAGGUUGCCGAUAAUGGUGCUAACAAUUAUGCACUAGCUACACUCAUGAGAUCCCAUGAAAGGUGUAAGUUGCUAAAGACAGCAAGGACGUGGCCAUGGAAGUCGGAAACAUCUAAGGAGUGUGUAACAACUCACUUGCCGAAGCAACUUGCCCUGAAAAUGGAAGCAGCUCGAGUGUUGAACCUAUACUUCACUCUAGUUAAGUAUCGAGUCGAUCGGUCUUGAUUAGGCCAGACACUAGAAGAUGGCAACAUCGUUCUGGAAUACAAUAAAUGACGGCAAAGUGAAAUCAAAUCAUAUGUGAUCUGAGGUCUAUAAAAACGGCCUACAGCGCAACAUAUGCCCACUCGUAUGGUUAUACGCGCAAGUGUUAACUGGGUGGAGCAAAGAGAUACUUGACUGGUAUUCUCUCACUUGGCCGUACCCAUAUCCGCAGCAGGUCUCCAAGGUUAACAGCCUCUGGUCACUUAGGAUAAUGUAGGUAAGGGAAGUCGGCAAAACGGAUCCGUAACUUCGGGAUAAGGAUUGUGAAGAGACAUGAGAGGUGUAGCAUAGGUGGGAGAUACAUAUCGAAAGGUGUGUAUCGAAAGUGAAAUACCACUACUUUCAUUGUUUCUUUACUGA